rnacentral:rRNA from 1 species
UACGGAGGGUGCAAGCGUUGCUCGGAAUUAUUGGGCGUAAAGGGUAGGUAGGUGGUCUCAUUUGUCUGGGGUGAAAGCCUUGAGCUUAACUCAAGAAGUGCCCCAGAAAACGGUGAGACUGGAGUUCUGGAGAGGGUCGUGGAAUUCCCGGUGUAGCGGUGAAAUGCGUAGAGAUCGGGAGGAACACCAGAGGCGAAGGCGGCGACCUGGACAGAUACUGACACUGAACUACGAAAGCGUGGGGAGCAAACAGG